UGGGGAAUAUUGGACAAUGGGCGAAAGCCUGAUCCAGCCAUGCCGCGUGAGUGAUGAAGGCCCUAGGGUUGUAAAGCUCUUUCAACGGUGAAGAUAAUGACGGUAACCGUAGAAGAAGCCCCGGCUAACUUCGUGCCAGCAGCCGCGGUAAUACGAAGGGGGCUAGCGUUGUUCGGAAUUACUGGGCGUAAAGCGCACGUAGGCGGACAUUUAAGUCAGGGGUGAAAUCCCGGGGCUCAACCCCGGAACUGCCUUUGAUACUGGGUGUCUCGAGUCCGGAAGAGGUGAGUGGAAUUCCGAGUGUAGAGGUGAAAUUCGUAGAUAUUCGGAGGAACACCAGUGGCGAAGGCGGCUCACUGGUCCGGUACUGACGCUGAGGUGCGAAAGCGUGGGGAGCAAACA
rnacentral:rRNA from 1 species